rnacentral:rRNA from 1 species
UGUCCCAGCCGCCGCGGUAAUACAGAGGGUGCAAGCGUUAAUCGGAUUUACUGGGCGUAAAGCGCGCGUAGGCGGCUAAUUAAGUCAAAUGUGAAAUCCCCGAGCUUAACUUGGGAAUUGCAUUCGAUACUGGUUAGCUAGAGUGUGGGAGAGGAUGGUAGAAUUCCAGGUGUAGCGGUGAAAUGCGUAGAGAUCUGGAGGAAUACCGAUGGCGAAGGCAGCCAUCUGGCCUAACACUGACGCUGAGGUGCGAAAGCAUGGGGAGCAAACAGGAUUAGAUACCCUGGUAGUCCAUGCCGUAAACGAUGUCUACUAGCCGUUGGGGCCUUUGAGGCUUUAGUGGCGCAGCUAACGCGAUAAGUAGACCGCCUGGGGAGUACGGUCGCAAGACUAAAACUCAAAUGAAUUGACGGGGGCCCGCACAAGCGGUGGAGCAUGUGGUUUAAUUCGAUGCAACGCGAAGAACCUUACCUGGCCUUGACAUAGUAAGAACUUUCCAGAGAUGGAUUGGUGCCUUCGGGAACUUACAUACAGGUGCUGCAUGGCUGUCGUCAGCUCGUGUCGUGAGAUGUUGGGUUAAGUCCCGCAACGAGCGCAACCCUUUUCCUUAUUUGCCAGCGAGUAAUGUCGGGAACUUUAAGGAUACUGCCAGUGACAAACUGGAGGAAGGCGGGGACGACGUCAAGUCAUCAUGGCCCUUACGGCCAGGACUACACACGUGCUACAAUGGUCGGUACAAAGGGUUGCUACCUAGCGAUAGGAUGCUAAUCUCAAAAAGCCGAUCGUAGUCCGGAUUGGAGUCUGCAAUUCGACUCCAUGAAGUCGGAAUCGCUAGUAAUCGCGGAUCAGAAUGCCGCGGUGAAUACGUUCCCGGGCCUUGUACACACCGCCCGUCACACCAUGGGAGUUUGUUGCACCAGAAGUAGCUAGCCUAACUGCAAAGAGGGCGGUUACCACGGUGUGGCCGAUGACUGGGGUGAGUCGUAGCAGUAACAAUCGAAUCCGCCG